GAAAUAUCUUUUUUCAUCCUCGAUCAAACGAACCGAAAUGAACCGAUCGUGAUUGACAUCGAUAAAGAAUGACCAUCGGCGAAUAGUUAACCGGUCGAAGGAGACAGGUAGAAAGAAAAGGUUCGCGGACAGAAACCAAGUCGAACAUGGUGUAUGCAAAUCAGCACGACCUUUCGGGGUUACGUACGGCGCGUGUGUGUGUGUGUAUGCACGAGGCACAAAGAGCGGAUCGAUAAGUCGCCACCUCAACGUAAGCACUCGAACGAUCGAGCCACGAUGUCGUAAGUGGCAAAAUCAUCUGCCGUGCCGAGGCACCGUUCCAUAAACCUCGCGAUCUACGAGACACGCCAGCCCUCCAAGAAUCUCUUCCUGGACAGACAUAACGUUGCUUGAAAAAUCUGCAAACUGGAAUGCUCAGAGCCACGAAAUCGUUCCUUUUGAAUUAGACGAAAGGGAACGACGUCCCUUUUUCUCGAUCCUUCUGAUAUUACAAACGUGACAAGAAGAUUCUUGCAAAAGGCAAGGUGGACAGAAAAACGAGUAACCUUUCGGGCCAAGAUCCUACCGAUAGGUCGACCGCGUGCAUCCCUAAGGAAAACGAAGGAAAUUCGAUCCAGGAGCGUGACAAAUAUGGUCGAGUCGUUUGUGGAAAACCCAACGACUCGUUCUGUCAACCCGAAACUGUCCGACUGCUCGUAAACGUCCGGGAAAACAGUGGAAGAAAAUUAAUUAUUUAUGUUCCUUGACUGAAAUCUUGGAACUUUCUCCUGAAAAACGAAACGCCUAUAUAUAAAAAAAAAAGAAAUUUACUGGUAGUUUCCAGUGGUAAUAGAAGGAGGGUCGAGAUCGCAGUAAUAAAUCAUGUUUUUUUUUCGAAAAUCGUAAAAACGAGGAGGGUAAGAAUAAAAUGGCUCGUUACUGGGAAAGAACUGUUUUUUUCUCUUUUAUCUAUGGCUAGAUAAGAAUAGCCUCGUACCGAGGUUAACGGUUGCUAAGUUGAGUUUAUACUAAAUAUCUUUCAAUAGCGAAAGCUUUCACGCUUGAAACGCGCUAAUAUAUUUUCCAGUCGGUCCAUUCGGUACCGGUACGAAAUCGAUACAGUUAUUUUACCAUUAAACGUCCAGACACGCGGAAGUUGAAACAGGAAUGUCUACGAGUCCAGCAAACUCGGCAAACUGAAUCUGGAAUUUUAUUGUAUAUAUAAAAGUGAUUCCAGAGGACACGCCUUUCGUCGGAGUAACGAGAAACGAGCAUGUCAAGUGCAGCUGGCAGCUAAUUAGCAUCGCAUCUGUAUUUAUGGAAAAUCAAUGUCCACGGACGACCAUACGAGCAGAUGCUAUCAAGAGUUGGACUCUGUUGGUACGAGAUGCACGAUAACAGGCCCGGCUCUCGACGAACCUGGGGAUCUUCCAACGAUCUGACGUUGAAAUCGCUUGAUAUCCUCGAAAAGUAACGUCGCUUCGUCGGUCUUUAAAUAGACAAUUUAUCGAACAAUAGCGAGAGAAGUUUGAAUUAUAAGAAAUAACGAAAACAUAGAAUAUCUCUGACCAUAGAUAACUGAAAUCUUCUUUAAACUCCAAAUAUUUACCGGACGUCUUCAGCAGGAUUAACAGAGCCUUCCACGAGUUUGACCAGCACCUCUGCCACGUUUCGUCGAAGAAUUCCCGCAACGAGAAGAAGAGAAAACAUUGAAAUCCUUCUCGUUUCACACGGUUAUCGUUCGCAAAUAACCUUUGCCAUUGGGGGAUAGAGAUACUGGACAAGAUAGCAAGAGGAUCUCCGCGAAAAGAGAGCUUAGGAGAAGCCUGAUCCGAGUCCUCUGUGUCAACAGACGAUUCACCAACCACUUUCGUCCUCGUUCGUUUCCGAAGAUAACACGGCUCUGAUACCGCUGACGGAAGUUCCAUCGACGUGGGAAAGCCUCCGAUACACCUCUUCUUUUUCUUCUAUCUCUUAUUUGCGGCGCGAUACCGAGCCCGAGGUAAACGAUGCAUUCCUUUAUCCCAAGAAUUUCAUCGGAAGUCGUGAAUGUUUUCACCGGGUGAGUUUCAAGAAUGUUUAUAGCUUUGAUUGCCGCGUCAGGCGUUCGAUUCGCUUUUCAAUGACUCGAGGUUUAUCGGAUGAUCGGGUCAAAGGAUUAGCGUGGAACGGUUGAAAAAAAAAGGAAUAAAAAGGCGAGUCCUCCAGUUUGUCACAUCGCGGGCGCAUCUGAUCGAUCGUUUUCGUAAUUCAUGGAAACGAAAUCCUGCGACUGCAACCCUCGACGCGAAAGGUUACAUAAUGUAUCAGAGGCAACGAGAUCGCUUGCUUAUGCAUCUCGAUCGGACCCGCUGAUCGAUAGAUCGUCUGGAGAUUGUCCAGUUGCACGAGGAUCUUGAACCAAAGCGUUUCGAAAUCAUUUCCGACCUCAUCCCCGAUGGUUUCUCUUUUUAUUUUAAACAAGACGAUCUUCAAUCGUUGAAAAAUUUCUCCGAGAAUUAAUAUAAUUAACUCAAGAUUAAUCGGUUGCUGAAUUUAUAGCUUCGAUUGGUUCAGAAUUCUGUUCAGCAUCCUUAUCUAUUUUAUUUAUAAGAGUUAUCAAAUUGCAAAAGUGACAUUCAACGUUACUUCGUAUAUAUUUCGCCAUUUCUCUUGGUUUAUCUGUGCACUUUCGACUUGUUGCUCACGAUUUCACCAAUACAAAACGAAACCAGAUUGCGAUCGAAUUGCAAGUCCCAGAAAUUGUGAAAUUCCUUAAAAUCAAUCGGAGAAGCUGUGAAAAUAUCGUUUCAAUGAUACUCUGUUGGAGUAAUAAUCGAAACUCCAAUUAGAAAGAGGGAAUUCCAACAAUAUUUCAACGAUAAUAUUAUCAUUAUUAAAUUAUACGCGAAACGACAAAUGAACUCGUUUCACUGAUUGUUACGAGACUAAUUAUUAUCGAGUCAGUUAUCGUUCAUCGGCUCGCAAGAUUUCCAACUGAUAACGGCGAUGAUAAGAAGUUGAUUUACUUAUCAUCGACGAAUUGCGAAGGCUGUUGCUGAAAAAUCGAUCGAGGUCUUGCUAAACACACCGAUAAAACCGACGAAAAAUAAUGUAAGAACAUCUGUACGAUAGCGGGAUUCGUGGUGUUAACAGCUAAGCAAAUAGAAAUUAUCUAUUUGCCAGUGUCUGGUGAAAGUGAUCGAUCAAUGAUAUCUUCCUUCGAUCGUUUAGAAUGAUCGAAGAACAAAUGUAAUCAUUCAAGCUUAAAAGUUGAAGUAAUUUUGGCCGAAAUAAUUUCUUGAAAUAUUUAAACAACUUGUUAAAAAAGAAAAGAAAAAAGAAAUGUUAAGUAUCAUUCGAGUGAUCCAAGAGGCGACAACUUGGUCUGUCGUGGCUGUCUACCCGUUUCUUCCAGCAUCGCUCGCGUUUCCCCGCUUUUUCGUCGUCCACGGGCUUGAUUUACACGAAACAAGUGUCACGGCUGGAUAUAUUUAGACAUGGCGUCGUCAGGGACCGAUUUCGUUGUCCCUUGUCGUAUAUCAUGCGAGAGAAAGCUUUCAAAAGCUAUAAAUUCCCCGUCUCCUCGUCGAGGGAUGAAUUUAUACACGUUCCAAGAUGUUACGCAAUUCAACCCUUUCGCUACUUCCACCCCCCACACACGCAAUCAUCGAAUGAUUCAAAUAGAUCUUCUGUGAGAACUUUUUCUUUGAAAAUUUCGUUAUUCAAUUUAGAAAGACCAGAAUCUGUUACAAUUUCCAUCCGGAAAUAGCUGCUCCUCUUUCGUAAGAAGAAAGAAAAGAUUUCGCGUUCCAUUUUCUUUUUUAUCUGGGACAGGCAAGAAAAAAUGAGGCUAUUGGCGAAAUAAAUCCCGACACGCUCCCCUUUCAAAUAAAGAGAUCAUUUGUCUCGUAUAUUUUAACUUAUGGCUUCAUCUUUUUAUUUUUCUUCUUUUUUUUUUUUUUUUUUUUUUAAACGAUGAAAAUCGCGGUAGGGAAUAAACUUUCGUCCAAAUGGGAUCGCGACGAAGAAACGUACACGUCGAUGAGGCAAUCCUGUGUAAAAAUAAUCGAUCGACGAUGAAACACACGUGGAUAGAACGGGUAAUCGAGAAAAGGAGGACUCUUUUCGCCCAUUGAAAAAGGAACCGAUCGAUCCUCUGCGGGGCAGACUCCAAUUCCGUAACGAGGGUCGAAACGAAACAAGAAAAGCAAGGCUAAUCGGUCUCCUUCCCCUUAAUUACUCAACGACGGAGCUGUAUCGAUGCUAAUCAAAUCGCUCCGAAUCAGAAUGGAAAAUUAGUUAUCGCGGAAAGUUUUGAAAGUCUUGGAAACCUUGAAGAUCUCAUCAUUCUUAAGACUUUGGAUUACGUCAAUGUUUGAACUGGAAAGAAAUAACUAAUCUAAGAUAAUAUUAUUCACUAGAAAUAUAGAACUAGUAAGAUAAUAUUACUAACAUUCCAGAAAUCUAUUUUAAACACUGUUCAAUUGUUACUCAAAUAGCGUUCUAUUCUUGGAAUUAAAGUUUUGUAACAAUUUGCAGGUGUUUCAAGGGUUUCCCCGUUUCCAAUGGGGGGAUGCAAAACUGCUGGAGGAUUUGAAAGAAACGUUAGAAAGAGCAGAAGCAACGGGUCUUGAAGGGAAAAGAAAGCAGAGAGGGCUUGUUGCCAUGCAAGGGGUGGAACUGGCGUAGGAACGACCGCACCCUCGUCGUAGUAAUUGAUUGAGCCGCGCCCUGCGAGGGUGUUAGCUUCUACCAGCGAUGCCUUUCAACAGUCCUCGAAUCUAUUCGCUCGAGCUCGGUUUACUUUCGAAAAUUUAAUCUUUCUAUUAAACAUUAAGUGAGUAAUCCUUGUCUUUACUUAAGACAAGGAUUUUCUAAGAUAGUCCUCUGCUUAUCAUUUCCUUGCCUUAUUUACUAUCUUAGUAGCCCAUUAUCGUUUAUCUUCUCGCUUUAUCAUUUAGUUGUUAUCGUGUCCCAACAGAGCCUCUUCAGAAUCCCUUAAAAUAUUAAUAAUAAUAAUCUGUUACAGGCAUCCUAUAAUCUAUUCUGAACUACGAAAACGAAGAACUAAUUAAUUUCGAGCACGAUUUCGAGUCAUCGCUAGAAAGGAAGGCACGAGCAAACGGUCGACCUAUAGAAAACGAGGCUGUUAUAUUCCUACACCUCGCCAGCCAAAGUCUGGAAUAACGGCGAGGGUGAUGGCAGGACGGUGGUAGCGCGGGUACAAAGUAUGGUGGUGGCGGUGAUGGCGACGUUAUAGGUGGAUACGAGGGUGGCGGUGGACCGUCAUGCCACAUAGUGUGAUAGUGGAGCAUUAAACGACCAACCCCCGGCCAGUACUAUUGGCCCAACCUACGAGAACCCUAAACAGUAGCGACACAGCCAGACUUAAGAUCGAGAUCAAUUUUCCCAAUCAAUAAGCGAUAAAGAUAUAUCUAAAGUAAUAAUGUGAUAAUAAGAUAAAGUGAUAACGAGCAUACGCUUAGGGUACCACAGUAGCUUUCCUCGAUUUUCCAUUUUGAAUGCUUUCUAAUUGAGUGAAAAACGUGCUCAAGGAUGAACCACUGGUGUUACAGGAUAAUGGGUCCCUUUCGCAGGUAUAAGGAGAGAAAGAAAAAUUUCGAAGGGUCUUUAGAAAUCAGCCAUCAACACGGUGACUUCUGUUCUGACCUUUUCAUCCCCCUUGAGAGCACAAGGGUUCCAUUGUGAGGAGUUGACACUUGUUAUCGAAUCAUUAGACGCGCUCAGGGGAGAGCUGAACACAGAUUAAUGACCUUUUAAGUAAUCAAGCUCCUAUGAAGAGUAGAGCAAAGUUCAUAGAAAUAAAUGCAACGCGAAUCGAACGAGCAGCAGGGAAGAAUUCGCAUGAAUAUCAACUUCCAGCAGACUAAUGCAACAGUGAUAUACUUGUUCCCCGAGGCAAAGGGAUUCGCGAUGCUCUGUUCGAGAAAGCUGGUCCCCAGUUCUCGUCGGUCGGUUUCUUAAAGCCGAUCCGUACGAUGACCUGAGGAUGCUCGUCGAGCAAGGGGGAUGAUACCCUGGCGAGUAAUUAAAACUUCGAGGUCGACCACGAGGACGGGAAGGAGUCCUCUCACACCAUGGAACCUACGACUCGUACGUGCAAGACAACCUUUGGGUCUGUGGAAGAUCCGGCCCCGAAUACCGAACAGGCUUGGGAGUUGUUUGACCAGCUGCUACGAACCAAGAAACCCUCGUCAUGUCCUCCUUUCCUUUCCUUUCCUUUCCUUCUUAGCAACGCUUUCCCAAUUCGGCUUCCUACAGUCUCUUCUUCUUCCUUCGUUUCAAAUUUUUCCAACACCCCAUCAUUAUUAACGAAUGCUCUUAAGAGUCACCAAUGAUCGACACUACAAAUUGAAUAAAAUCGAAGGAAGAGAAAAAAGAACGAGGCUCGGAUUAGAUGAUUAUGCAGAUCACCAAUCGACACUUAACCCCCUGUCGUUAUAUCGAACCUCUAUUGCUUAACGGUGUAUGUAUCUCGAUACGGCACUGGUCGCCAAGAGCUGACCGAUCAUGGGCCACGGAUGGUCGUUGGGCGAACAAGACCGUUGUAACAGUACCUCACGUGCCAUAGGGAUCCCAUAACCGGCCACGUGUAAAAAAAAGAAAAGGUACAUAUUGAGACGCGAUCGAUGCCGCACCUGAGCCUUCUUUAUCUAUGUGAUCAA